AGACCAGUGAGGAGUGAUUCAGAUGAAAAGCUCUUGAGGUCGAAACACGGCAAGACUCUCAAGAGCUUUUUUAU
rnacentral:sRNA from 1 species